CCCUGACCCUCCCCCUUUUCCUCCACAGUCCGUCAAUCACAGAUGACAUCCUCAAAGACCUCUUUGCCGGCAGUGGCUACACAGUCAAGGCCUUCAAAUUUUUCCAGAAGGAUCGCAAGAUGGCACUGAUCCAGCUGGGCUCGGUCGAGGAGGCCAUCCAGGCCCUGAUCGAGCUCCACAACCACGACCUGGGAGAGAACCACCACCUGAGGGUGUCCUUCUCCAAGUCCACCAUCUAGUGGCGGACCCCCCUCCCCUCCCUUCCUCUCCUUUCCUUUCCUUUCCUCUCCUCUCCUCUCCUCUCCUCUCCUCUCCUCCUGUCCUUCUCACCGCUCCAGCUGGACUACUCUAGAACCCCAGCGGGAAGAAGACUGAAGGAGAAUAAAGACAAAAAAAACGCAACAAAAUAUGACAAAAAAAAAAAACUACAAACUAACGUAAGAGGACAAGAUGAUCACAAUCAGAUAGUUUAGGUAUUUUGCAACAAAAAAAAUUGAAAAUGAAAAGGUUUUUGGAGAACAUCCAAAAACAGACUACUGCGAAGCUUUCAGAGACAGACUGGAGGGAUGUUUUUUAUUAAUGACCAGUCCUUGUUUCAGGGGCAGGAUUUGGGUCCAGGGGCCUCUAGAUGGCAGCAAAGGGGGGGAUGCAAUGAGGAUCAGGACGAUGAUGAUGAGGAUGAACUCCAUAUGACACGACCAGUUCUGAUUGUAGUUCUGGUUCUGAUUCUGGGAACUUCCUCUCUGAGGAUGCAAGAUUCCCAGUCUCCUUUGCUGUUACAGUGAGCACACUCUCUCAGCCUCCAUCCUCCCACCCCCCUCUAUCUCCAUCGGCCACCUCCCUCCUUCACUCCCUCCCUCCCUCCCUUCGUCUCCUGUCCUCUCCGACAGUGCUGGAGGACAUCGGCUCUGCCUCACAGGGCUGCUUAUGCUGUAUGUAUGUAUGCCAGACAAUUCCUGCAGAGACCAGCUCAUCCUGAGAGUGGGGGUGUCUUCUGAGAAAAGUGGAGAUCACCUCUGAGGAUCCUCUGUAGCAUCGUCAUCUCCUUCAGACCUGAGCUUACCUGGCAGGAGGAGGAGGAAGGAGGAAGUUUGUUUGGGGAGGGGGGGCGGCUCACACGCCCCCAUGGCGUCUCCACAACCUCCCCUAUCCAUUCUGCCACGCCGUGGUGUUUGAAGUGAAUGUUGUUCUCCAUGUAGGACAAGCAGAAAUGUUGGGGUUGUGUGUGUGUGUUUGUUGUGGGGGUAGAAGGGGUAUGGUAUUGGAUCGUAUCCACCCCCCACCCCUCUCUCAGAUGGAAAUUUUUUGGGAGUGUCACAAAGUGCUGCUGGGGAAACUGUCCUGUAGCAACCAAUCCAACUGACCAAAGAGCUGCCUCGCUCUUGGUUUAUUUUUUUUUUCUAGAGUAGCAUUAAAGGAAUGCAGGAGUGCGGACCGGGAUGCGGGUCCGGCUUUCAUCAGAGAGGAAAGAAAGACGAAGCUAAAUGAAACAUGAGCCACCCCAGGAUCGCCACGGCUCCCUCUGCUGGUGGCGUCUACACCACACCCCGCCCCACACGUUUGUUUUUUAUGGGCUGUUGUUGUUGUUGUUUUUGUUGUUCAUUACAAAACAGAAAAAACAAUCCUUAUUUAUCAGACAUGUCAGCAACAUGGGGAGAUGCUUUUGCACCUUAAAAUGUCUGUUUACCGUGCAAAGAUGGGGGGGGGGUUCUGUAUUGAGGGAAGAUGAGUGACCCUCCAUAGAAUGCUGGUUUGACCCCCUCGUACGUGCCCCCUCCCCCUUCAGGAUGCAGGAGUGCCGAGUUGAGCCUCAGUUUAUGAGCCACUCCCACAGACAGACAGUCAGACUGACCAAUCAUGUGGCAGAACUACUCCAGGACACACCCCAGGCCUGCUGUCAAUCAACCAAUCACGGCCCAGAGAAGGCCCCGCCCUGCCCCAAUCCCGGAUCCCAAACAGAACCAUGAAUGUGAAUGUGAUUUUCUAGCCCCCUCCCAUCAAAACCAAAAGCAGUUUGUUUUGGGGGGGGCCAUGAAUUCUCCAUUGGUUUUACCCUGGUCCUGCCCAUGGUUUAAUCUGUGCUACUCAUCAUUUUUCAGUCUUAUUUCCAUCUUGCAUUUGUUUCCAUUUGCUUUUUAUUAUUUCUUUUGAUAUUGUCUUCGUCUCGUUGUACAUAAGCAGCCCAGAUGGCAGUAGAAUCGGGCGCAGCUUUGGGCCAGAUGUGGGCCAGCUCAUGCCAGGCCUCUGCUGCAGCUGCUUGGGAAGUGCUGCUGCACUCUGUGCCUGUUUUCUACAGCUCGUCCCGAACCUACACAUUGCCCUCCCCCUCACCAUACACAGACAUUGUGUGUGUGUGUGUGUGUGUGUGUGUAAACAUCUUUCUUCUUGCAUACUCAGAGAUCAUGCCUCCAUCUCUGACCAAACCAAAAAAAGUAAUGGCAGAAAGAGAACGCUAGAGCAUGCAUGCCAGUAGCUACAGCUGAAACUUGGGCGUGUUUGUCUAUGUGUGUGUGUGUGUGUGUGCGUUUUGUGUGUGUGUGUGUGUCUGUGUGAGCAUUAGGGUCUUACCUCAUCAAGCCUAUGAGGAAAUGUGACCCCCCCCCCCCCCCCCCCUAACCCCCGCUUCACCCAUCACUGAUGUGCAGGUAAAAAGUGCUGACUCGUGCUGCCAAGACGACUAGCCUUAUCAUUCCAGUGAACAGACUGGGCAUGGCCUGGUGCACCACGGGAUAGCAGCACAGUGCCUGAGUCAGCUGACCUCAGCCAUCGUCAUGGAAUUAUUUUUUUUUCCCCAGCAAUGAAAAAAAAACACAAACAAAAACAAACAUACAAACAAUGUCAGACAUCAAACCAGGCAACGCAAAAAUGUUCUGGGCAAACCGCAAGGCGAGGGACCGCAUCUGCAUCUCUUGACCUAACCGAUCGUUGAAGCAACUCGACAAAUUGAGAAUUGAGAACGCAUUUUUUUGAAGUUUACAGUCUUAAAUAAAGCAAAACUAUUCAGGUCUAUCUAUCUUAAGGAUUUUUUGAGAAGAAAAAAAAAAAAAGUUACUUAUUUUUGGUAAUUAGUUCUUUUUUAUGGAAGACAAAAAAACUAAUCCGAAACCUCAAGGGGUUUUUCUACCACUAUAAUCUAUAAGAGAUCAUGCAGAGAGAGAAAAGAAAAAAAAAAUCAUAUUUACGGUGUAUGUUCUUCAUUUCUUAUUAUGUGCCUUAUAAUGUGUUCAUAAUCAAAUAGGUUUUAGAAAAUUUUACCUAAGAUAUCUUAUUUACUAUGUUGUGGGACUGGUGAGAGGGUUGGUUAACUUGUUGAUUGUUUAUUUUUGUGUAAUUAUCUUUCUGUUGCUGUUGAUUUUAGAUGUGUUUUUUUGUUGUUGUUUUUUUUGUGGGGACUCAGUACACCGUGGUCUUAAGUUGAAAUGUAGAUUUGUGACUGGUGCUCAAAGGUGCACACAUUAGAGAAAAUGAAUGGCUAACUCUAAAAUGUUCAGUGCAUGCUGUGGGCCCCUCCAUCCACUCUGUGUGUGUGUGUGUGGGUGUGUGUGUGAGAGUAGACCAUACUUUAAUUGUAGUCGUCCAUGUUUCGAUGACAUGGGUCUGUGUACAAUUAUAUCAUUGUACAUGCUGUGCAGUUGUUCUUGUGUACUUGUGACAUGCUUGUGUGUGUGCGUGCGCUUGUUGUCUGAAUCUUUUCUAGAUACAGUGUGACAGACUGUGGAUAGAUGGGAAGACUUCUCCUAUUUCUUGUGUAGUGGCACAAGAUACAUGUACCCUCAAAUGUCCCCUUCAUAAGCACACACACACACACACACUUACACACACACACACACACACAGAGAGAGAGAGAUGCAUAUACACACUUAGGUCUCAGAGACAUUAGCAGAGUUACUUUAGCAGAGAGAAACUACAUGAAAGACGGGAAGUGAUGAGUUCAGAGAGAGAAGAGGAACAGAAAACGAGUGUUGCCGUGUGUGUGUGCAUGUGCGUGAUUUUCAACACUCUCCAUUUACAAUACACAGAGAGCCACACACACUCAUCCAUCCUUUGUCUGUCUGUCGUUUGCCAGUUGGAAUUUGGCAGUACAGUUCAGGUCUUAACUGAUAAACAAAAUAACUCCGAUUCUCCCCUGAAGUUUUGCUGACUUCUAACAGAAAUAAGAGAUACAUGCACAGGAAGCACACUGUUUUUCUUAGGCACAUUUGGCUGCAUGCAUGGCCUUCCGAACCGAAUGUCUAGACAAGGAUGGCAUCCAACUGUGGCCUGUUUACUAUUUCCGCGCUUUUCGGGUUUAUUUUUUUCCUGAGCCAUCUGUGGGCACACCUGGUCCUUACAUAGCACUGACGGGUUCAUGUGUAAAUGUUGACUAACUAACUUCUCUGUUAAUACAUGUCCAAGACCAGCACUUGGAAUGAACUACAAAGGAGGAAGUUCAUUGCACUAAUGUGACCUGUUGGUCUGGGCGCCUGACAAUAGAAGGCCUGCAGUUAAAGGUGCAAUGUGUAGUUUAGACUGUCAAAAAUGCUUGUAAACGUCAUACUUCCUUACAUCUUUGUUGUGUGUUUCAGGCCUUUUAUACGCGUUUUCAUGGCUGUGAACAUGUAAACAAACGCCUGAAGCACAGAAUCAAGAUGUGUGGAGUACAUAGGAGUAUUGGGAAGUAUUCAUUUUUUUACAGAAUUGCAUCGUCGUAGAUGUCGAAAACAACAAGAACUACAUUUCGCAACUUCAAAGUCUUUAACUUUGCACAAUAGAAAUCUCUACAGUAGUUAUUUCUCAUUCUAGGCACCAGACUAUGUGUGUUUGCAUGUGUUUUUUAGGAGCAGAGAGGAAGUGAGCAUGACUGCUUUUGAAGUGGCUGGCAGUUAAUUUAAGAUUAUUAACCCUUGCCUGGCUAAAAGCUAAUUUGUGACCUGAAGGCGCUGAGUGGCCUGAUCGCUAAAAUGAAGAGCCAUGAAUUAGAUUUGAUUGUAGGGUGUAGACAUUUGUUCACAGUCUAACAGUGGUAUUAUUUGUGCGUUGAACUUUAAUGAGCAGAUCCCCCCCCCACACGCGCACACACACACACAACUGAACACCCAUCGAUUUCCGAAGCCCUCCGAUGAAUGUAGACUUGACUCAAUCUUUCUUCCGCAAAAACAGGAACGCGUUUCGGAUAAUCUGGUUUAUUUUGAAAACGGUUUGACGUUUAGCUUACACAGUGAGAGCAGCUCACUCCUCCCUGAACUGAUCCCAGAUCUCCACCAUGCACACGCCAUUGUAUAUUUGGGUUGGGGGGUGGGGGUGUAGCCACAGCACGCACAGUUUGUUUUCAGGUAGACCUUCAGUUUUUUGCCUUUUUGUUUAGUUUGAAAUGGGCUGAGAUCCCUGCUCGUGUGUGGUGUUGGAGUUGUAAUUAUAUUUACUGUACCUUAUAUUUGAUUAAUUUUAGGGGGAAGGCCUCUUUUUUGCUCUGUAGUGAUAUAUUUCUAUGUGUUUUAUUUUUUGUUCCUUCAAAACUUAGUGUGAAACUGGUUAAGAUUGUUGUCUGUCACUCUGCUUACUAUAUCAGCUUUCUCUAAGUCUGCCUUUAUAAGUGUCACUUCACUGGUGACGAGUUUCGCUCUGGCCACAAAAGAAUUUUAGUUUUUUUUUCCAAAAAUGUUAAGGUAUUUCGAUCUCGAUUACUUAUGCAGUGACUUUGUGGAGCACAUGCAUUUUUUUAACAAGCUCGGGUAGUGGUCAUCCCUCUCUCUCUAUCUAUCUAUCUAUCUAUCUAUCUCUCUCUCUCUCUUUUUCUCUCUAUCCCCUCUUUUUACUAUCUGUUUCAAAGGGAUGUCCAUGUACCCAUUGCUUUGGCCUUCUUUUUGUCUUAUCCCUUUUUCCAAACAGGAGAAAAAGCCAGACUUCAUACACUUGCAUCGUUGAGGCAGUAUGCUUUUUACAGACCACUCAUUAUGGGCUUAUGCUGUCCGCACCACCUUUGGUCUUUUCCCUUCCUUUUCCGUGUCUUUUCAUGAAAUCAUUUCCAAACCAUGUCUUGACUCAGGCACUACAUUCAGCCAUGACUCAGACACUCUCCUGCAAAUGUAAGCUUUCGACUCUGUCACACAGACAAAGACGCAUUCUGUUCUUUUUCCUGGUUGUGUUCACCAAUAAUGCAGGACCAAAGUUUAUGUGCCUUUUGUCUGAUUUCUCUGUGAAGUUAUUUCCUCCUGGCUGUCAACGAGAAAGCAACCAUGAAUUCUUGUUUUCAUUUAUUUUUCCUGUUUUUUUUGUUUGUUUUGGUUUAAAAGUCUGCUUUAUUUUUGGUGUCUGGAGACAACAGUACACAACAGUUUGCUGCCCUCGAAAAGUACAUCCCAAGGGAAGUGUGUGAAGCUUCCUUGGGUGAGAGUGGGUUCAGUUUCAGACGUUAGCGAAUGCCCCAAAAGACACCUUGUCUGUGGAUGUACAGUGUAGAGGACAUUUGAGUUCACAGUUGGAAUGGAAAGCUUUGAAAUGUAAACGUGAAAAACUCAUUACAAAUUUUAGUUUCCUUUGUCAUUUUUGCCACCAGAUUUUUACUCUUAAGUCAGUCUGCAUAGACAGCUUUACUUAACAAUUUAGCAAGUCAAAGUGUGACAUACUUAAACCAAAGGACCUCGACAAAAUUGGGUUUAGAGGGCACUACUAUGUAGUAUAUAAAAUGUAGUCAUGGCAUUAAUGUCAAGCAGCUGAACCUAAACAUUUAGCCUCUGAGUUAUAUUUCCAAAAUGUCUAAAUUCCGAUAUCUGCUUUACCUGUUUCCAACUUCUACUCUUCAGCUCUAAAUUAUUGGGAGAAAAUGUGAAAAGACGAAUUAAGUUAUUUGACUUUCAUAAAAGGGAGGGGUCAUAUGUAAUUGGACAACAGGAGCUCCAGCUGAGACGCAGUGCACAUGAGGUUGUGUCUGAGCAGGUCUCUUUCCAAAGCACUGUCUCGGCACAUCAAGAAUUAUCCUAAUUUAUAGUUUGUAUGAAUGUUCCACUUCCAAAAGGAAAGAUAAAUGCUGUAAAUAUAUAAAUGUUCCCAUUGUUUUAGUUUUUAGUUCUGCUUUGGAUUUCUUUCUUUUUUUUUUGGUUGUUUUAUAACCUGGCCAAAAAAAUGGUUUUGGGGAACAAGACACAUCAUCAUCGGUAUGGACUGGUUUUUAUAUUUAAAGAGGAUGAAACAGACGUUGAAAAAAACCACAUACACACAAAACAUUGUCUUCUGUAUUUUGAUAUCAUACCAGUACCAGCUUUUGUUUGUAAAUCAGAUUAUGUGACAUUGUGAGGGAAAGGGGGGAGAAGAGAGACAAGCAGGUUCUGUUUGAUGAGUUAAUGUAAUAAAAUGCAAAUAGAAGAUAAACUAUUAAAGAAACAUAUUUUCUAAUUUUGCUGUGCAUGGUCGAGUGGAGUUUUUGUAUUUUGUAGAAAGGAUUUCCUUUAUGUUUUGAACUGCAUAUUAUUAUUGAUUAUUAUUAUUACUACUACUAUUAUUAUUACUCCUAACCAUGAUUCGUUAUGAUUAGUACUCCAGAGUCUCUGCUGGCAUUUUCCUAAUCAACUUUAAUUGUAGCAUGCCUUGAAUAAAUGUCAUGUCAUCAGUACUUUUCCCUCA